ACUGGUCACGUGUGCAAAUAACUGCAUUGGAUCAGUUGAUAGACAUUUUCUGGAUCUCAGGUAAAACAACGUUUUGAACACUUAUAAUUACAUGCUUUAUAAGUACGUGAUUUGUUAUUAAAUCAAUUAUUAUAAGUUUUAAUGUUCAUAUUUAAUCGAAGUCAAUAAAAUCAUUAACUUUAAAGUUAACUUUCGUUUUCGCCUAGCAUAUACGGUUAAAAUAUCCAAACAUUAGGUAUGUAAAUAAAUAGCAGAAAUAAAUAACAAAAACAAAACCACAAACAUGUAGCAUUGACCAAAUAAUAUUCGUUCUCCUUGAUCUUAUUUAAGUUGAAAAUUCGAAAUUGUUAACAUCACCAAUAAUAUUUUGAGUACAGAUAAGUAUGUUGACAACUAUAAAUACUUUGUGUAAAUACUGACACAUCACUUUGUAUCUCCUACCGCUUUUUAGUAAAAAAAAGAAUUUCUUUCCUUCAAAUAAUAUGCAAGGUAAAGACUAAAAACAAGUUAAAGAUUAAAUGUUGCAACAGACCACCUAUAGUUCCUUAUAGAAAUUUCGAAAGGGUUCAAUAACAUAUGCCGAGAGCUUGACAGUUUCCUUGUACAUGUUAUACGCGUAAUCGGAUAUUGUGCUUUCAGUUGCCAGUGUAUUUAUAAACACUCUAGUAAUCACUUCAUAAUGGACUUUCAUCAUAAGCAAGGAUUCAUAACUUGAACUUAUGGGAUGAGCAUAUUUUAAUACCUAUUCGAUGGCUUUUUAUAUGAAAGCCAUGAUUUUUUUUUUAUAAUGAUUAGACCGUUGGUUUUCCCGUUUGAAUGGUUUUACACUAGUAAUUUUGGGGCCCUUUAUAGCUUGUUGUUUGGUGUGAGCCAAGGCUGUGUGUUGAAUGCCGUUUAUUGACUUAUAAUGGUAUACUUUUUUAAAUAGUUAUUUGGAUGGAGAGUUGUCUCAUUGGCACUCACACCACAUCUUCCUAUAUCUAUUUGAACACGAACACAUGCGAUGAGCAUAUUUCAAUACCUAACCGAAGGCUGUGUAUAUGUCUGCAAUGCUUUGAACACUAACACAUGCUUGGUGAGUUUCUAGCAUAUGCAAUUAAUUAUAAUGAAUUUUAAUUUUUCAUAACUGUUUAUUCUACUUUCGUUUUCGCUUCGCAUACCGUAUAGCGGGUUAUUUUCGCGGGUGUAAAAUUUCGCGAUUUUCAUUGAAUAAGGUAUACGAAAAAUUUUGGCGGUUAUUAUUUUGGCGGAUUUAUCAUUUUAAACAUUGCCUUUGCAUGUACACUUUUAAAUUGGCGGAAUUUAUUUUAGCGAUUUUGUUCUAUCCGCGAAAAUAAGCGAAAAUUUACACCCCGCGAAAAUAACCCGCUAUACGGUAUAAUGUUAAAAUAUUCAAACAUUGGAUAUGUGAAUAAAAAACACAGAUUAAUGAUAAAAAAACACGAAGUUUCACUUGGUUUUUAACAUGUUUAAAGAGCUGCAUAUAUUAUCAUUCACAAUUACAAAUACAUUGCUGAUUCAGAAUACUGAUUAUACAGUAUGUAUCACCUGUUGAUGCUUUACCAAAUUCGAAAUACUUUCAUACUUCAAAAAGUAUGCGCUCAGUAAAUACAGGGAAAAAAACAAGUAAUUAAUAAAUUACACACUUGAGAUCACUUGAGUAUCGUGUUGCUUGGUUGAUAUUUCAUGCUUUACCAUGUUAACAUGGAAGGGUAAAUAAAUACAAUAAAUAUGUACUUUUGCUAUCAAUGACAGGACAUUUGAAAGGCCACAUGAACAUGAUAGUUUGGUAGAGAGAUUGAAGUGACAGGUUUGGUCUUGUAACUGGCCAUCUAAAGUCCCUUCAGAGAGUUUUUGAAAGCGUUGAAUAAUGUGCCGAGAGCUUAAAAUUCGCUUGAACAGAGUCAUCGGAUUUAGUGCAGACCGGCAGUUGUCGGCCGAUUUAAAUUUGUAUUUAUAAACACUCUAGUAUAAACACUAAACAGCCAAGCUGACUUACCUUAUUAGCGAAUGACUUAUUACUUGAACGGGAGAGGCCAUGGAAUAAUCAUCUUACAUGCAUAGUCAAACCAUUUUUGUAUGCCUUUUGAUCUGGCUUCUAAGUGUACUUUUGUUGAUCGAAGACCCUUAAUCCUCAGUUUAAUUCCGUGGUAAUACGAACAAAGUUUUACUUGUUUCAUAAGUAACAAUAUUUGUUGCAUGACACUUGAAAUGGCACAGCUCUAUGCGAAAUAUCAAUGUUAUAUUUAUCUUGUCAAAUUAACUGUUGAUAUUUAUUUACCUGUAUUUUUAAAAUUACCGUGACAGUGAAGCAGAAACGUGUGUUCAAGAAAAAAAGGCGAUUUCAAAUGACAAUAAAAAAAAACGCAACAAUAUUUUUUAGUCGCAGUAUUACAUGCAAAUAUGCCACCUAACAGAAAAAAUUAUCAACUACAUGGGAAAAAAUAUGUGUGCACGCACAUUGUGUGCCAAGCAUAAUUAUGCUUACAUGACUUGCGACAGCAAGAUUUCAUAGAACCUUUAUUUACAUUUACCUAAUUAAGGUAACAACCGGUGAUAAAAAACAUAUCUAAGGAUUUGUCUUACAUAAGACAGAUUUUUGUUAAAAGCAAUUUUAUUCUUUUAAAAUGUCUUUUUUGUAGCAUGACGAGUAAAUAUACUGUGUGUGGAAUAUGUGAUUAUCAGAACAUUAACAAACCAUCAGUUGUCUGGUGUUCAGAAUGUGACGAAGGACUUUGUGAAGAAUGUAAAGUGCAUCAUGCAGCGUCAAAGGCGACCAGAAACCAUAGUAUCGUUCAAAUCUCGGAGUACCAGAGGCUUCCUUCCAAUAUAUUGGAAAUUACUCAAACAUGUUCAAAACAUGAUGAAAAAUUCCAAAUAUUCUGUAAGAAACAUGAUAUUCCAUGUUGUAGACGAUGCGUUGUUGAAACACAUAACGAUUGCAAAGAUUUAAACGCGAUAGAGGAUGUCAUAAAGAAUGUAAAAUCUUCAAGUGCAUUUUCAGAGAUGGAACAAGUGCUGAAAGAACUGUCAGAAAAUUUGCAGAAUAUAAGAAAAGAUAGACAAGAAAACAUUAAAAGUCUAAGGGAGAACAGAAUACAAAUAGAAAAGGAAGUUCAGCAGACACGAAGCCUGAUUAACAAUCACCUUGAUAGGCUACAGGAAUUUUUGAUAAAAGAGUUGUAUGACACUGAGAAAAAGGAAAGCACAAAAAUUAAAAACAUAAUAUCAUCCAUUCAAGAAAGUGAAAGAAAGAUUACCGAAUGCAAAAGUACUUUAUAUACAAUAAAACAACAUGCAUCAGACCUCCAGACGUUUCUUGCAAUGAAACACAUCCAGCAAGAUGUCAGAAACAACGAAAACUUUUUGGAAUCCUUGAUUAAAGAAAACAAAAUGAACAAUGUUUCCAUUACCUGGAAAAACGAAACUGCCUUGAAGAUCUUACCUGUCCAAACUAAAAAGAUGGGGACCAUAAUACUAAAUACCAGGGCAGGUGAUGCAACACUAACAAACAAAAAGAACAAACAAGCGCAGAUGAUGAUGCCUACUACACCUGUUUCUACCAUUGAUGAUAUAAAACUUACUUUAAGACAAACCGUGAACACAAUUGGACAGGAUAUCAAAAGUUGUUGCUUAUUACCUGGUGGCAGAAUGAUUUUUUCCUGCUAUAGAAGUAACAAAAUUCACGUGCUCAAAUCAAGCGGGACUUCAGAUUUUACACUUGAGACAGGAUCCACAACAUCUCAUAUCCACUUUAUCGAAAAAAGUCAAAAACUUGUCGUAACAACUGGGGAAAACAACCAACGCAUUGAGAUAAUCGACAUGAAAAGUAGAAAAUCUGAGAAAUCUAUUGGAGUUGGAACAAGGAUUUUUGGGAUAGUUAACAAAGAAGGGAAAUUAUUUUAUAAUGGAGAUAGAACUGGAUUAUGUUUUGUAAAUUUAAAUGACGACUCUUUAACACAGUUAGUUGACGGUGCAUUGUCUACAUAUAGCAGCAUUGCAACAUGGUCAGAUCAACUAUAUUUUAUAGGCGAAGAUGGUUCAGUAACAUGCAGUGAUCUACAAGGAGGAAUUAAAUGGAAAUUUAAGUUGAAAACAUUUACAGUUCCACGAGGUAUAACAGUGGACAAUUACGGGCGUGUUUACGUAUCAGGCUAUUGGACGAGUAAUGUCAUUGUAAUUUCACCAGAUGGAAGCAAACAUAGAGUGUUGCUGUCACAACAAAAUGGUAUUAAUAAACCACAGUCUUUGUUCUUCGAUCGAAUAAAUAACAAGUUACUUGUUGCGAAUACAUGCAAUUACGCAUUUCUUUAUGACAUUUCAAAUUGAAUAGAUACACUAUCCCUGGGAUGAUCUUAGCUGUGAUAAAUGUUUUUGUUAUGAAAACACGUACUUUUUGUGAGAAAUAAAAUACUAUACAGAUCGAUUUAUUACGAAACAACUGCAUUUGAAAUCGCUACAGUCAUUUUUGUUGUUGUAUUAAACAUAAAAAAUAUACGUUAAUUAAGAUUCAAAGAAAGGACUAGCCAUACGUGUUAAUAUGAUUGAAAAUGUUAAAUAAAAUAGGCAUUAGUGUUUUAAGUCAGGUUAUUGUUACUCCAACAGAGACGAACUCAGGAUCUCAAAAAGUAAACAAUGAUGCGAGUCUAACCUAUCCCCUCUUAUUGCAGUUUUAUUCAUUAACAGUUAUGAAUAAGAGUGUACAACUGGUUAUGUUAUCAUGUUAUAAAAAGUUUUCAUGUAAACAAUUCAAUACUAUAAAAAAGAAGAUAUGGUAUGAUUGUCAAUGAGACAACUCUACAUAAGAGACUAAAAUAACACAGAAAUUAACAACUAUAGAUCACCAUACGACCUUCAACAAUUAGCAAAGCCCAUAUCGCAUAGUCAGCUAUAAAGGCCCCGAAAUGACAAUGCAAAAUAAUUUAAACGAGAAAACUACCGGCCUAAUUUAUGUACAAAAAUUGAACGAAAAACAAAUAUGUAAUACAUAAACAAACGACGACCACUGAAUUACAGACUCCUUACUCGGUACAGGCACAUAUAUACAGAAUGUGGCGGGGUUAAACAUGUUAGCGGGAUACCAACCCUCCCCAUAACCUGGGACAGUGGUGUAACAGUACAACAUAGGAACGAGCAAUACAAAUCAGUUGAAAAAGGCUUAACUCAUCAAAUGGACAAAAAUACAAGUGGACGUAGACGGGUACUUAUACAUUCUCACCACAAAAAGACACUAAGUACAGAUCUGAGAGUACUCGCAGUUAAUUGAGAGCUAGUUCAAAGCAUCUAACAACUAAUAAAAAAAUCAUGCAUCUGAUUAAGUUCCUUGAAAGACGAUCACUAGAGUGUGCUUACAAAAAACAGACAGCAUUGGUAGAGUUUAAAUGGUUGCUCCCUGUUUUCGUUUGUAACCACUAAAUAUAGAAAUGACAUAUCAGCCUUGAAUGGCGUAGUCUCUCUGAUAUUUGAAGAAAGGAAUCAUGAUUAAUUAGGUUAUACAUAAUAUGUCAUAGAAAAGUUGCAAUAAGAACAACAAAUGAAUUUCCCCAUAAAAGACAAACUGAUACAGCAAAUAUUUUUUUCUUCCCAAAUAACAAUUUAUUUCCGCCUGAAACAAAUUAGUAGACAAUAUCAAUAAAAGUACCUCAGUAGACUCUUCAAGUUCAAUUCUUCAAUCUCAAAACAUCAAUAUCAAAUUCAAUUAUACAUAGUACAUGUAUAUUUGACCAAUUUUACAUUAUUUAUUUACAUAUUAGAAAUUGUAUAUAAUAUGAAUUCAUUGCACGUCUUGUCAGAAAUUCCAGGACAUAAUCAUAAAAAAAACACAACUUGAAUUUAACCGCGUUUUAAUACUUACCAGAAAGUACGUUCUGGUCACGUGUGCAAAUAACUGCAUUGGAUCAGUUGAUAGACAUUUUCUGGAUCUCAGGUAAAGCAAUGUUUUGAACACUUACAAUGACAUGCAAGUAGUUGAUUUGUUUUUAGCAUAUUUUAUCAAUUAUUAUCAGUUUUAAUUUUCAUAUUUAAUCGAAUCAAUAAAAAAUCAUUGACUUUAAAGUUUACUUUCGUUUUCGCCUUGCAUAUAAGGUUAAAAUAUCCAAACAUUAGGUAUGUAGAUAAAUAGAACAAAUGAAUAACAAAAACAAAACCACACACAUGUGGCAUUGACCAAAUAAUUCUCGUUCUCCCUGAUCUUAUUCAAAAUGAAAAUUCGAAAUUGUUAACAUGGUUAGCAUCACCAAUAAUAUUUUGAGUACAGACAAGUAUGCUGACAAUUAUAUAUACUUUGUAUAACACUAAUUGAACACUUUGUAUCUCCUAUCGCUUUUUACCAAAAUACGAAUUUCUUUCCUUACAUAAAGAAUAUACAAGGUUAAUUUUUUAAUAGAAGCUAAAAAAAAAGUUACAGAUGAAGUGUUGUAACUGACCACCUAGCUACAGUUCUUCAGAGAGUUUACAAUAGGGUUCAAUAACAUAUGCCGAGAGCUUGACAGUUUCCUUAUACAUAUUAUACGCGUCAUCGGAUAUUGUGCCUUAGAAAGCCGGUGUAUUUAUAAACACUCUAGUAAUCACUUCAUAACCAAGUGGACUUUCAUCAUACAUGUCAUAAGCAAGGAUUUAUUACUUGAACGGGAGGUGUCAUGAAUUCGAUAGCUUUUUAUAUGAAAGCCAUACUUUUUUUUUAUAUUGAUUAGACCGUGGGUUUUUCCGUUUGAAUGGUUUUAUACUAGUAAUGUUUGGGCCCUUUAUAGCUUGUUAUUCGGUGUGAGCCAAGGCUCCGUGUUAAAUGCCGUAUAUUGACUUAUAAUGGUUUACUUUUUUAAAUUGAUAUUUAGAUGGAGAGUUGUCUCGUUUGGCACUCACACCACAUCUGCCUAUUAUCUAUUUAAAAACAAACACAUGCGAUGAGCAUAUUUCAAUAUUUAGCCGAAGGCUGUGAAAUAUGAAAGCAAUGCUUUGAACACUAACACAUGCUUGAUGAUUAGUUGGUUUGUUUUUUAGCAUAUGCAAUUAAUUAUAAUGCGUUUUAAAUUUUCAUUUUUAAUGCUAGUCAAUAAAAACAAUAACUUUUUAUUCUUCUUUCGUUUUUGCUUCGCAUAUAAUGUUAAAAUAUUCAAACAUUGGAUGUGUGAAUAAAAAACACAGAUUAAAGAUAAAAAAAAACACGAAGUUUCACUUACUUUUUAACAUGUUGAAGGACCUUAAGAGCUGCAUAUAUAAACAUUCACAAUUACAAAUUUACAACUGUUGAUUUAGAACACUGAUUAUGCAGUAUGUGUCUCCUAUUGAUGUUUACCUAAUUCGAAAUACUUUCAUCCUUCAAAAUGUAUGCGCUCAGUGAAUACAGAUAAAAAACCAAAACAAGUAAUGAAUACAUUACAUACUUGAGAUCAAUUGAGUAUUGUGUUGCUUGGUUGAUAUUUCAUGCUUUACCAUGUUCACAUGGAAGGGCAAAUAAAUACAAUAGAUAUGUACAUUCGCUAUCAAUGACAGGGCAUUUGAAAGUUUAGUAGAGAGAUUGAAGUGAUAGAUUUGGUCUUGUAACAGGCCACCUAAAGUCCCUUCCGAGAGUUUUUGAAAUCGUUUAAUAUAUACUAGUAUAAUGUGCCGUGAGCUUAACAUUUGCCUGAACAGAUUCAUCAGAUUUAGUGCACUCAUUCAGACUGACAGUUGUCUUUUGACCUCGGUUCAAAUUGUACUUUUGUUGAUCUAAGACCCUUCUUAGUUUAAUUCCGCGAUAGUACGAACACAGUUUUACUUGUUUAAUAAGUAACAAUAUUUGUUGCAUGACACUUGAAAUGGUACUAAAUAUCAAUGUUAUAUUUAUCUUUUCAAAUAAACUUUUAAUACUUAUUUAUCUGUAUUUUCAAAAUUACCGUGACCGUGAAGCAGAAACUUGUUUUCAAGAAAAAAAGGCGAUUUUAAAUAAUAAUAAAAAAAAAAACACAACAAAAUAUUUUAGUCGACAGUAUUACAUGCAAAUUUGCAACCUAACAGAAAAAAUUAUCAAUUACAUGGAAAAAUAUGUUUGCACGCACAUUGUGUGCCCAGCAUAAAUAUGCUUACAUGACUUGCGACAGCAAGAUUUCAUAGAGCAUUUAUUUCCAUUUACCUAAUUAAGGUAACAACCGGUGAAUGAAAAACAUAUCUAAGGAUUUGUAUUUCAUUAGACAGAUUUUUGCUUAAAGCAAUUUUAUUCUUUUAAAAUUUCUUUUUUGUAGCAUGUCGAGUAAAUAUACUGUAUGUGGAGUAUGCGAUUAUCAGAACAUUAACAAACAAUCAGUUGUCUGGUGUUCAGAAUGUGACGAAGGUCUUUGUGAAGGAUGUAAAGUGCACCAUGCAGCUUCAAAGGGUACCAGAGACCAUAGUAUUGUACUACGAUCCGACUACCAAAAUCUACCUUCUAAUAUAUUGGAAAUCACUCAAACUUGUCUAAAGCACGAAGAAAAAUACGUUAUAUUUUGUAGGAAGCACGAUAUGUCCAUGUUGUAGAAGAUGUGUUGUUGAAACACAUAACGAUUGCAAAGAUUUAAACGCUAUAGAGGAUGUCAUUAUGAAUGUAAAAUCAUCAAAUGCAUUUUUAGAGAUGGAAAAAGUGUUGAAAGAACUUUCAGAAAAUUUGCAGAAUAUCAGAAAAGAUAGACAAGAAAACAUUAAAAGUCUAAGGGAGAACAGAACAAAAAUAGAAAAAGAAGUACAGCAGACACGAAGCCUGAUUAACAAUCAUCUUGAUAGGCUACAGGAAAACUUGACGAAAGAGUUGUAUGACGUUGAGGAAAAGGAAAACAAAAGCAUCACAAACAUAAUAUCAUCAAUAGAAGAGAAAGAAAGAGAAGUCACCGAAAGCCAAACUAUUUUAGAUAAAGUUAAACAACAUGCAUCAGACCUCCAGACAUUUCUGGCUAUAAAACAUAUCCAACGAGAUGUCAAAAUCAACGAACAAUUUCUGGAAUCGCUGAUAAAAGAAGAGAAAACCAACAAUACAUCUAUUUCUUGGAAAAACGAAAACGCUAUGGAGAUUUUAUCUAACCAAAUCAAGAAGAUUGGAACCAUCAUAUUAGAUACCAGGCCAGGUGAUACGAUACUGACAAGCAGGAAAAACCAACAAGCACAGAUAGCGCUACCUACCACACCUGUUCCUUCCAUUGAUGAUGUAAAACUUGCUUUACGAAGGACCGUGAAAACACUUGGAGAUGAUAUCAUUAGUUGCUGCUUUUUUCCUGACGGCAGAAUGGGUUUUUCCUGUUACUCUGCUUAUAAAAUUGACGUCUUGAAAACCGACGGAUCAUUAGAUUUUACAUUGAAGCCGGGAUCGAGAACAUCUCAUAUAGAUUUUAUCGAGAAGAGUCAAAAACUUGUCGUAACAUCUGGCUUUAACUACAAACACAUUAAGAUUAUCAAUGUUAUAAAUAGAAAAACCGAGAAAUCCGUUGAUGUUGGAACACAGAUUUAUGGAAUAGUUCACAAAGAUGAGAAAUUAUUUUACAAUGGGGAAAGUCAUGGAUUACAUGUUGUAAAUUUAGAUGAUGGCUCUGAUACCCAGUUAGUAAACGUUUCUUUGAAUCGCUAUAGCAGCGUAGCAAUAUGGUCAGAUAAACUUUAUGUCAUAGGCAAUGAUGAUUCAGUAACAUGCUGUGACCUCCAAGGGGCUGUUAAAUGGAAAGUAGAACUAUACACUAAUCUUAAAGGCGCACGAGGUAUAACAGUGGACAAUUACGGACGUGUUUACGUAUCGGGCUAUGAAUCCAACAAUGUCGUCGUGAUUUCAACAGAUGGAAGCAAACAUAGAGUGUUGCUGUCAGGGAAAGAUGGUCUUAAAAAACCACAGUCUUUGUGCUUCAAUCGAAAAAACAACAACCUUCUAAUUGCAAAUCAAGAGAAUGAUGCCUUUAUUUAUGACAUUUUAAAAUGAAUUGAUACAAUAUAACUUAAAUUAGCUUCAUAGAAGUGAUAAUAUAAUGAUUGUAGUGAAAAACGCUGGUUUUGGCUCUUUGUUAUCCUAUAAAUGAACAUCGACAAUUAUCUGUUGAAUGGAAGAUAUUAUACAUUUUUAUUAAGUACUAUAAGGAUUUAUUAUGUGAUCACGUCAGCUGUAGUCGAUCCAAUAAAAUUGAGAAUGGAAACUCUUUUUUUAUUCAUUAAAGCAGUAUAGCUUUUUUUUCCCAUGCAACAACAAAAAAAUAUGAAGCCAUUAGGGUUAUGUUUAAAAAAUGUUUUAAUUUAUUCUAUGUAUGAUUAAUGAUUUUAAGUUGAUUAUAUCCGUCUGGCACGGCUGAAUAUUUGUGCAUUUUUGUUUAGACAUUAAUUCAUAAAUUUCUCAUACUAAAGUUCAUGCCAAAUUCAUUUGUUCUUCUCUUUGUUUUUGAUUGCUCUAUUCUAUUGCAUCUCCCUUUCUUUUUUUUUUCUUUUUUUUCUGUAUUUUUUUCCAUUUGCAGCAACAUCCCAAAUGGACGUUUCAUUGUAUUAAGAUUGUAUUCCUGCAUUGAAAGGCUUCUUUAUAUUUAUACCAAACUAUAAAAUGAUCCUUCAAAGAAAUAGACUUCGGCUUUGAGUAAGAUUGCACAUGUCGUGAACUAUUGUUAUAAAAUGAGGAGCUGUGGACUUUGACUGUUCAAUAUUUAAAUUAAAGAAAUAGAGUGUUGACAAAUUUUUAUCCCCGUUCGGCUUUUCCACCUUAGUUCAAUUGCAUUGUGUCAGGACCUUAGUUAGAAUAACAGUUUAAUAUAUUUCAAAC
rnacentral:lncRNA from 1 species